AAUGAGAAGAUAGGAAAAGGGAAAGAACCAGACAUCACGCUGGUACACGUGCUGCCGGGACUGAACCAGGGAUCUCAUGCUUGAGAGUCCAAUGCUUUAUCUACUGCACCAUCUCCCGGACCACUUUAUUUUACUUUUUUAAACCAAAACACUACUCAGCUCUGCCCUAUGCUGGUGCCAGGGAUUAAACCUGGAAGCCUGAAGCUUCAGGCAUGGAACUUUGUGGUAUAACCACUAUGUUACUCCUUCAGUCUUGGAACCAUAUUUUUGUUGGGGACAGAGAGACAUCACAGCACUGGAGCUUCCCCCAGGACUAUAGCACAUCCCAAGUGGUGCCAGAGCUAACUUCCUGGCCCAGUAAACAGCUUUUAUUAAGCACUUGUGCUAGGCUGGAGGACAUGACCCUUCCCACUAAUCACACAACAAUGCUGUGAGGUAAUUGCUACUAUUACCUUCAUUUUAUUGGUAGGGAACAAGUUCUCAGACUCAAGAAAUUUGCACCAGGCUUGGGCUUGUGGGUGGUAGGCAGCAGCAAGCCUGCCUAGGCUUGGAAUGCCCAUCUCCACCCACUCCCCAGCCCCAGCACCAGACAGAAAGGAAGAGCAGGUUCCCAGAGGAGGAAGCUGUGGGCACGCAGCUGCGGAGCACACUGGCCUGUGGCCAGCAGAGGCUGGCUGGAAAGAAGAGGAAACAGGCCCAGAUGGGCAGUGGCCAGUUCCUUGUCACACUGUAACUUUCUUCCUCUUAUUACUCACUCAGUGAGUCACUCAUGUUUCCCUGGAGUGAUCCUCUGUCCUAGGCGCUGGAGAAAUAUGUCCACUGGCUUCCAGCUGUAGGCAGAGAACAUGAACAAGCUGCAACAGAGAGACUCUUAGUAUAACAAAGUGGGGGCUCUGGGAGCAUGUCCCUCAAGGGGGACAUCUGGGCCAGGGAGACAAUACAGCAGCGAUGCAACAGACCUUCAUGCCUGAGGCUCUGAGGUGCCAGGUUUAAUCCCCAGCACCACUAUAACCCGAGCUGAGCAGUGUUCUUAAAAAAAAAGAAAAA